GAAUCAAGAAAUACAAAAAAAAGCUUCUAACUUUAUUUUUAAGCGGUGUAACUCCGUUUUUGAUUCU
rnacentral:tRNA from 1 species